rnacentral:rRNA from 1 species
UGGGGAAUUUUGCACAAUGGGCGCAAGCCUGAUGCAGCGACGCCGCGUGAGGGAUGAAGGCCUUCGGGUUGUAAACCUUUUUCGCUCAUGGUCAAGCCGCAGCUUUGGGUUGUGGUGAGGGUAGUGGGUAAAGAAGCGCCGGCUAACUACGUGCCAGCAGCCGCGGUAAUACGUAGGGCGCGAGCGUUGUCCGGAAUUAUUGGGCGUAAAGGGCUUGUAGGCGGUUGGUCGCGUCUGCCGUGAAAUCCUCUGGCUUAACUGGGGGCGUGCGGUGGGUACGGGUUGACUUGAGUGCGGUAGGGGAGACUGGAAUUCCUGGUGUAGCGGUGGAAUGCGCAGAUAUCAGGAGGAACACCGGUGGCGAAGGCGGGUCUCUGGGCCGUUACUGACGCUGAGGAGCGAAAGCGUGGGGAGCGAACAGG